rnacentral:rRNA from 1 species
UACAGAGGGUGCGAGCGUUAAUCGGAAUUACUGGGCGUAAAGCGCACGUAGUCGGCUUUGCAAGUCGGGUGUGAAAGUCCCCGGGCUCAACCUGGGAACUGCAUCCGAGACUGCAUUGCUAGAGUAUGGGAGAGGGAAGCGGAAUUUCUGGUGUAGCAGUGAAAUGCGUAGAUAUCAGGAGGAACACCGGUGGUGUAGACGGCUUUCUGGACCGUAACUGACGCUGGAGACACGAAAGCGUGGGUAGCAAACAGG